AACACCUCCCUGUCGCUCAUCAUUUACCCAUCCUCGAAUGAGCCAUGGAGGAGUAGGAGGGAUGGGAUGGUGGAAUUUUUAGGAGUUAUUGGAAUGGGACUGGAUCGGGAAAUCGGCUUCCAUGAUCUGAUUUCCCGAUACCUCCCAUGCCAAUGAUUUCUAAUUACUCCUUCCUCUCCCUUCUACUCUCAAAGCAUAAAGCAUGUGUGGUUGUUAUAGAUUAUUAUCAUUGAGGGAGUGUGUGUGUUGGUGGGAGAGGGAAGAGGAAGAUCGGGCUCGUAAGAGCAGUGGGAAUGGGAUCAUCGAGGAAGUUCUCUUCCUUCUUCUUCCGAAGUCUGGAAGAUGGGCAUGUGGGGUAUUUCCCGAUGCCUCCCAUUCCUAUUGUUUUUAGUAACGUAAAGAGAGGUAUUAUCAGAUUGUGCCUGAACGCAUGCAUGUUCCCCAGGAGUUCCAUGGAAGCAAUACGCGAGGUGUUGAAGCGAUGAAUGGUGUAAAAGCUUUCUUUUAGGGCUACAAAAGAAAGUACCAGCUAAGGGGUGAGUGCUGUAUGGAAACUUAUUCCACGAAUAAAUUGUUUUCAGGUUAAGAAAUUUCGUGAUGGGGUGAAAAAGACGUUCAGUAUUUGAUCCAGUAUUGUGCAUACUGACAAGUAGCGUAUUGUGAGGCAUUUGCUAUGGAAUUAUAAAUGUCUUACGGAAGCUAUUCGAGGCUUUACCAUCCGUGGAUUCGAUGGCUUCUUGUUUCCAGUUUUUUCGUUUUGAUGAAGUUUUUAGUUGUUUGCAGGGCUGCAAAUAGAUAACUUUGAAUUAAAUCAAAAAUCGGCGGAUUUAAACUUCA